rnacentral:rRNA from 1 species
UACGUAGGGGGCGAGCGUUGUCCGGAAUCAUUGGGCGUAAAGCGCGUGUAGGCGGCUCGUUAAGUCCGGUGUGAAACCUUGGGGCUCAACCCCAAGCCUGCACUGGAUACUGACGAGCUCGAGUCCGGGAGGGGAGAGCGGAAUUCCUAGUGUAGCGGUGAAAUGCGCAGAUAUCGGGAGGAACACCAAUGGCGAAGGCAGCUCGCUGGGACGGUACUGACGCUGAGACGCGAAAGCGUGGGGAGCAAACAGG